AUGGUUAAGUUAGAAAGGGCGCACGGUGAAUGCCUUGGCACUAGGAGCCGAUGAAGGACGGGACUAACACCGAUAUGCUUCGGGGAGCUGUAAGUGAGCUUUGAUCCGGAGAUUUCCGAAUGGGGAAACCCACUGUUCGUAAUGGAACAGUAUCUUUAUCUGAAUACAUAGGAUAUUGAAGGCAGACCCGGGGAACUGAAACAUCUAAGUACCCGGAGGAAGAGAAAGCAAAUGCGAUUUCCUGAGUAGCGGCGAGCGAAACGGAAUUAGCCCAAACCAAGAGGCUUGCCUCUUGGGGUUGUAGGACACUCUAUACGGAGUUACAAAGGAACGAAGUAAAUGAAGCGACCUGGAAAGGUCCGUCGAAGAAGGUAACAACCCUGUAGUUGAAACUUCGUUCCCUCUUGAGUGGAUCCUGAGUACGGCGGAACACGUGAAAUUCCGUCGGAAGCUGGGAGGACCAUCUCCCAAGGCUAAAUACUACCUAGUGACCGAUAGUGAACCAGUACCGUGAGGGAAAGGUGAAAAGCACCCCGGAAGGGGAGUGAAAGAGAUCCUGAAACCGUGUGCCUACAAGUAGUCAGAGCCCGUUAACGGGUGAUGGCGUGCCUUUUGUAGAAUGAACCGGCGAGUUACGAUCCCAUGCAAGGUUAAGCUGAUAAGGCGGAGCCGUAGCGAAAGCGAGUCUGAAUAGGGCGUUUAGUAUGUGGUUGUAGACCCGAAACCAGGUGAUCUACCCAUGUCCAGGGUGAAGUUCAGGUAACACUGAAUGGAGGCCCGAACCCACGCACGUUGAAAAGUGCGGGGAUGAGGUGUGGGUAGCGGAGAAAUUCCAAUCGAACCUGGAGAUAGCUGGUUCUCUCCGAAAUAGCUUUAGGGCUAGCCUCAUGUUGUGAGAGUCUUGGAGGUAGAGCACUGAUUGGACUAGGGGCCCCCAACGGGUUACCGAAUUCAGUCAAACUCCGAAUGCCAAAGACUUAUCCAUGGGAGUCAGACUGCGAGUGAUAAGAUCCGUAGUCAAAAGGGAAACAGCCCAGACCACCAGCUAAGGUCCCCAAGUAUACGUUAAGUGGAAAAGGAUGUGGAGUUGCUUAGACAACCAGGAUGUUGGCUUAGAAGCAGCCACCAUUUAAAGAGUGCGUAAUAGCUCACUGGUCGAGUGACUCUGCGCCGAAAAUGUACCGGGGCUAAACGUAUCACCGAAGCUGUGGAUUGACAUCUUUGAUGUCAGUGGUAGGAGAGCGUUCUAAGUGCAGCGAAGUCAGACCGUAAGGACUGGUGGAGCGCUUAGAAGUGAGAAUGCCGGUAUGAGUAGCGAAAGACAAGUGAGAAUCUUGUCCACCGAAUGCCUAAGGUUUCCUGAGGAAGGCUCGUCCGCUCAGGGUUAGUCGGGACCUAAGCCGAGGCUGAAAAGCGUAGGCGAUGGCCAACAGGUUGAUAUUCCUGUACCACCUCCCCGCCGUUUGAGUAAUGGGGGGACGCAGUAGGAUAGGGUAAGCGCGCUGCUGGAUAUGCGCGUUCAAGCAGUUAGGCUGAUGAGUAGGCAAAUCCGCUCAUCAUAAAGGCUGAGCUGUGAUGACGAGGGAAUUAUAGUACCGAAGUUCCUGAUUCCACACUGCCAAGAAAAGCCUCUAGCGAGGCGGGAGGUGCCCGUACCGCAAACCGACACAGGUAGGCGAGGAGAGAAUCCUAAGGUGAUCGAGAGAACUCUCGUUAAGGAACUCGGCAAAAUGACCCCGUAACUUCGGGAGAAGGGGUGCUCUGGUAGGGUGUAUAGCCCGAGAGAGCCGCAGUGAAUAGGCCCAGGCGACUGUUUAGCAAAAACACAGGUCUCUGCGAAGCCGCAAGGCGAAGUAUAGGGGCUGACGCCUGCCCGGUGCUGGAAGGUUAAGAGGAGGGGUUAUCCUUCGGGAGAAGCUCUGAAUCGAAGCCCCAGUAAACGGCGGCCGUAACUAUAACGGUCCUAAGGUAGCGAAAUUCCUUGUCGGGUAAGUUCCGACCCGCACGAAAGGCGUAACGAUCUGGGCACUGUCUCAACGAGAGACUCGGUGAAAUUAUAGUACCUGUGAAGAUGCAGGUUACCCGCGACAGGACGGAAAGACCCCGUGGAGCUUUACUGUAGCCUGAUAUUGAAUUUUGGUACAGCUUGUACAGGAUAGGUAGGAGCCUGAGAAGCCGGAGCGCUAGCUUCGGUGGAGGCGUCGGUGGGAUACUACCCUGGCUGUAUUGAAAUUCUAACCCGCGGCCCUGAUCGGGCCGGGAGACAGUGUCAGGUGGGCAGUUUGACUGGGGCGGUCGCCUCCUAAAAUGUAACGGAGGCGCCCAAAGGUUCCCUCAGAAUGGUUGGAAAUCAUUCGUAGAGUGUAAAGGCACAAGGGAGCUUGACUGCGAGACCUACAAGUCGAGCAGGGACGAAAGUCGGGCUUAGUGAUCCGGUGGUUCCGCAUGGAAGGGCCAUCGCUCAACGGAUAAAAGCUACCCCGGGGAUAACAGGCUUAUCUCCCCCAAGAGUCCACAUCGACGGGGAGGUUUGGCACCUCGAUGUCGGCUCAUCGCAUCCUGGGGCUGUAGUCGGUCCCAAGGGUUGGGCUGUUCGCCCAUUAAAGCGGUACGCGAGCUGGGUUCAGAACGUCGUGAGACAGUUCGGUCCCUAUCCGUCGUGGGCGUAGGAAAUUUGAGAGGAGCUGUCCUUAGUACGAGAGGACCGGGAUGGACACACCGCUGGUGUACCAGUUGUCUUGCCAAAGGCAUCGCUGGGUAGCUAUGUGUGGACGGGAUAAGUGCUGAAAGCAUCUAAGCAUGAAGCCCCCCUCAAGAUGAGAUUUCCCAUAGCGCAAGCUAGUAAGAUCCCUGAAAGAUGAUCAGGUUGAUAGGUCAGAGGUGGAAGCGUGGCGACAUGUGUAGCUGACUGAUACUAAUCGAUCGAGGACUUAACCAAAC
rnacentral:rRNA from 2 species